UUUUUUUCAAUCGUAACUGGAAAAGAGGAAAUCUAACAAAAUUAGUCCACAGCGCCCAUUUCUCAUUCUCACACUUCUCAGUGGACCACAAUAACUUCAGAAGAUACGUGUCUUUAAUGUCUCCUCUAGGAAUCUUAGUGCUUGUUUUACACUGUGUUUCUGGUCCAAGUUUGAAGUGAUAUUAGAUGUUUUUUUAGGACAAGGAUGACAGCUACAAGAAGAGCAAACUCUAGAUUAUUGAGUGAAG